UACGUAGGUCCCGAGCGUUGUCCGGAUUUAUUGGGCGUAAAGCGAGCGCAGGUGGUUUAAUAAGUCUGAUGUAAAAGGCAGUGGCUCAACCAUUGUAUGCAUUGGAAACUGUUAGACUUGAGUGCAGUAGAGGAGAGUGGAAUUCCAUGUGUAGCGGUGAAAUGCGUAGAUAUAUGGAGGAACACCGGUGGCGAAAGCGGCUCUCUGGACUGUAACUGACACUGAGGCUCGAAAGCGUGGGUAGCAAACAGG
rnacentral:rRNA from 1 species